CAAACUUCAGAAGUUACCCUCUUUGCAGACAAAAGUGUCUUCCUUUUUUUCCCUCAGCUGAUGAAAUAUCUGGGGCUUCCCAGGCUGCUGGAGUGGCCUUAGCUCAUCACAGAUGGUAGAAAACACAGUGUUUGAUGAUAGCUGCUUUCUACUGCCUACUGCUGUGAGGGGUCAACUUGUGAUGUCCAGCUACAUGUCCCGAGAUGUCUGAGAUAAAUUUCAGCCAAAACCUACUUGAGAGGGGCCUGACCCUGCAAGAGGCGCAGGAUUGCAGCGAUGUUUUCUGUAAGACACGUGGGCACGCUUUUGCCAUUGCCUUGUGUGGGCAGCUGAAACAACUUCCUUUUUGUCUUUCGUUACAAACCAAAGCCCAGAACUGCAGGGAUGGUUGGAAACCUGACUUGGACACCUGAAAACCAUCAGUGCUGAAGCCAGUGGGUGUCAUGCAGCUAGUUAGUGUUUGGCAUCGCUGUGCAUCCUUGGGUGCAUAGCGAGGGAUGGCAUCCAGACAGCCAGGGAGCUGGCUGAAUGCAGUGCCUGCCGUAUGCACUGGCCCCACGCUGCUGACAGCCUAGAGCUAAUGGGCUUUAAAAAAGGAACAGACCUCUUCUGGACUGCUGGACACACACCCUUGCUUUUGUGGCAGUUGUUCUGGUUUGGAUAUUUUAAUUCUAAAAUAAGAGGUAGAUUUUCUGGUUGCUGCACCUGGCAGCGGGGCACUAGCUGCUAUUUCAGAUUUUGUUGUCCAGCAAGCCAGCAUAUGGGAUUUCACCCUGUUUCUGUUGAAACCAUAGGAGAAGACAGAGACCACCAUGAAGCCCAGCUCUCUCAGAAAAAUAAACAUCACACCACAAAGUCCACAGGACUGCAAGGAGGAAAGGUCAAUUAAGGCUUAUAAAGGCAAAGUCCCUUUCCAGUUCUUCUGGCUUAUCUUCUUCUACUUGCACAGGCGUUCAUGUAUGCAGGAUUACUGGCCUGGAGCAGCCAUGAAGCCACUGUGUCUCCUCUCUCAGGGCCACCUUCAGCACAAAGGCUCCCUGGAUGUCCCCAGGCUACUGGUGUGACCUUUGCUGUCCCUACAGGGACAUGCAUGCCGUGCCUGGGAUGGAUCAGAGAAGCAGGCUCCUUUUGCUCUGCAUUGCUGGGUGACAUUCCCAGGCUGUGCUGUUGCAGCACAAUGUUAAGUAGAGCGGCCUCAACCUGCCUUUGAUCCUGGGCUCAGGUUAGGUCACAGCAGUACCUGAGAGUGUCUUACAGCACCCGGAACAGCCCACAUCCCCUGACAUGUCCUCACUUUCCACUGAACAGAGAUCAGCUGUGUGCAUGCCCCCUCUAACCUCUGGGUCUCCAAGGGAAGGAGAUGGAGCCUGUGGACCAAAGGGGACCUGCAUGACAGCUCAGUCCCUUCCCUUUACAGUCACCUGGGGCACCAGGAAAUGGGAGUCCAGAUACAGCCUCCCUCCCUCACUGUCUCCAGACUCAGGAAAGAAAGAUUGCCUUUUACCUUUUACAGGUGCAGUUCUUACAGUCAGAACCCUAAAAGCUGGACACCUGUAUGAUUCAUAUGCAUCUGGAGGAUGUUACUGCCCUCCAUUUAUACAACGGCUCAGACGGCAGCUGCCUUCGUACAGGUUGGAAGAGUCACUGGAGUGAACGAGUGCCAUGAUUAAACCUUUCUUCUCUUCCAGUCCCCAGCAAAUCUUUGAAUCCUGAGGAGAUGAUAAUUAAUGCAGCACUUUAAAUAGCUUUUAAGAGAAGCAAUUCAGGUUGCAUGUAGUAGACACAACUUUCGUAAGUAUAUGGAAAACAGAUUUACUCUUUAGGAGAAGGUUAAAUUUCACUCUUAAUUACAAACGUCUCUUUUUUGUAUAACAAUUUUAAAAUUAUAACUCCCUGAAGAAUAAAUAUUCCAUAAGACUGGAUAACAAGGCUAAGUCUAAUUUAUGCUAUUUAGAUGCAAAUGAUCGUUCUGGUGUGUCAAUGCCCAAAAUCAAGUGGAAGGUAGGCAGAUACUGAGGGAAAAGAAAAGCAAUAUGGAAAAUCUUAUUUUUUGAUUAAGGUAAACGUUUCAAGGGUUCAGAUCCUCAAAGCCCUUUCUCAUGCUAGUCCAUUGACUUCACUACAAUCCUCUCAUGAGAGCCCAUGUCAGUGGGGUCAUUCCCAUGAGAAGACUGUGUUUUGAAUUAAUGUAGCUUUUCUAUUCUUAAGCAACAAAAAAUCUGAGAUGAUAUGUGCAGCUGACUUUGGAUUUUUUGGAAAGUAGAACUGCAAUAAAUCAGACAGUAUAAGGGAAAUCAGAAGAUUAAAUAAAGCAGCAAAAUGUUUAUUGGCAGCAUGGAGUCUGCUUCAGAAGACUAUUUUAGAAGUGUGGAGUAGAUGUAUACCACCUACCAGACAAGUUUUUAAAAGACUGAAAGGAAAACAAAAUGCUGUCAUGGUCAAACAUCAAGGCAGUAGAAAUCACUAAAUGGCAGUAAAUGCAUCUUUUAAAAAGUGGAAGUCUUAUCUGAACAAGGAAAAAUAGAAAAGAGAAUAACCUCUAGCAAGUUGAGUGUUGACCUCUAAUCAAGAAGGGCAGUGAAGAUUUAGAGAGGAAACCUAGUAGAGUCAUGAAGGCCUUUAUAGGUAUAAAACCUUUCUCAAAAACAUCAGGGCAGGAAGCUGACCAGAAAGUCAAUAGGGCCAAUAUGUGAUGAAGGUGUAGAAAAAGCACUCCAUGAAGACAAGACCUUGCAGCAGAAAUAAAUGAUGUGUUUCUAUUAGUGCUGGUCACAAAAGAGGUCAUUGACUCCCAGUGGUGUCAUUCAUUGCAGGAGAUGAAUGUGAGAAACUGAUUGAAGCAUCCACAGGAAGGGUUUGGAAUAAGUCAGUAAACUGAACCUAACCAGUUCCCAGGACCAG